rnacentral:rRNA from 1 species
CCCGUAACGAGCGCAACCUUGUCCUUAGUUACCAGCACGUUAUGGUGGGCACUCUAAGGAGACUGCCGGUGACAAACCGGAGGAAGGUGGGGAUGACGUCAAGUCAUCAUGGCCCUUACGGCCUGGGCUACACACGUGCUACAAUGGUCGGUACAAAGGGUUGCCAAGCCGCGAGGUGGAGCUAAUCCCAUAAAACCGAUCGUAGUCCGGAUCGCAGUCUGCAACUCGACUGCGUGAAGUCGGAAUCGCUAGUAAUCGUGAAUCAGAAUGUCACGGUGAAUACGUUCCCGGGCCUU